rnacentral:tRNA from 1 species
GAGGGUAUAGCUUAAGUAGUAGAGCUUAUGCGUAGCAUGCACGAGGUCCUGGGUUCAAUCCCCAGUACCUCCU